CAUCCCUGAGGCACUUAGAGAAAAGCUCAGGUAGGAGAUGCCUUGUGGUGGGAGGGGCUUGGCCCGAGCUGGGAGGCUGGGUCUGGACUGUCCCGUGCACCCACUGAGCACAUCUCUCACCCCUGAGAGAGGAUCAAGAGAAGAGGCCUUGGGACCAUGAGCCUGCGAAGCCAAAGCCCUUGACCUACUGGAAGGGUGAGUUCCUGGGAGGGAGAAGGCAGGAGCCUGGAGGGUCUGGGGACUGCCAGCUACUGCUCUGCCUGCCCUUAGGGGAUGCUCAGCCGCCUCUGCUCUGUCUUUUCCCUGGCAGAUGUACUUCUCCUGGAGGGUGUGACCUUGACGCAGGAUUCCAGGCAGCUGAAUGGGUCGGAGCGGGCGGUGUUGGAUGGGCUGCUCACCCCAGCCGAGUGUGGGGUGCUACUGCAGCUGGCUAAGCUACUCGGGAGGCUGAGGCAGGAGAAGCGCCUGAACCUGGGAGGUGGAGGUUGUGGUGAGCUGAUAUCGUGCCAUUGCACUCCAGCGUGGGCAACAAGAGCGAAACUCCAUCUCAAAAAAAUAAAAAAAAG
rnacentral:sRNA from 1 species